rnacentral:rRNA from 1 species
UACGUAGGAGACGAGCGUUGUCCGGAAUUACUGGGCGUAAAGCGCGUGUAGGCGGAUGAGCAAGUCUGCUGUGAAAGCUCCUGGCUUAACCGGGAGUGGUCGGUGGAAACUGCUCGUCUGGAGGACGGUAGAGGUAGGUAGAAUUCCCGGUGUAGUGGUGAAAUGCGUAGAGAUCGGGAGGAAUACCUGUGGCGAAGGCGGCCUUCUGGACAGUGACUGACGCUGAGACGCGAAAGCGUGGGGAGCAAACAGG